ACGCGAAGCCCCCUUCGGGGGGCAAGUAGAGUGGCGCACGGGUGAGUAACACGUAGGUAAUCUACCUUUGGAUGGGGAAUAACCACCGGAAACGGUGGCUAAUACCGCAUAAUGCAGCGGCACCUAAUGGUGACAGUUGUUAAAGCGGGGGAUCGCAAGACCUCGCGUCUGAAGAGGAGCCUGCGGCAGAUUAGCUAGUUGGUAAGGUAACGGCUUACCAAGGCGAUGAUCUGUAGCCGGCCUGAGAGGGCGGUCGGCCACACUGACACUGACAUACGGGUCAGACUCCUACGGGAGGCAGCAGUCGGGAAUUUUGGGCAAUGGGCGAAAGCCUGACCCAGCAACGCCGCGUGAAGGAUGAAAUCCCUCGGGAUGUAAACUUCGCAAGAACGGGAAGAAUAAGUAAGGGUUAAUAUCUCGUACGAUGACGGUACCGUUUGUAAGCUCCGGCUAACUCCGUGCCAGCAGCCGCGGUAAUACGGGGGGAGCAAGCGUUG
rnacentral:rRNA from 1 species